AUGGACGUGCCACUUACACAGUUGGUGAAAAUUUGGAAAGCAUCAGUCUAGGGGGAGUUUGUUGGGUCUAAAAUUGAGACUGAAGCUUGCCAAAUUGAAGAUCACAUCAUGCAUGAUGUUGACGGUUUUAAAGAUGAUGCAAGAGUUUGAUAACAUUAGCCUAAGGGGGAGAUUGUUGGGUCUAAAUCGUGUAGUCUAAUGUUAUCAACGAAUCAAGUCAACAAAGUCAACGCCAACAAGUCUAAGUCAACGCACAAGUCGACACGUGAAGAUCGAGAAAGAUAUGGCGUGUGAACGUUCGAGAUUUGAUAGUUAUAAUGCUUUGGAUAAUUAAAUAUAUUUUGUUUACACAAAAUAUAUUUAUUAUCUUAUUUAAUUUGUUGUCAUGUUUAUUACUACUUUUGGUAUGUUUUAAUCUCUAGGGUCCUAAAUGUAAUUAGCCAAAAGUUGUUUUGGCUAUAAAUAGAAAGUGAUGAUUAGGGUUUUAGGUAAUACACUUUACUAGAGAUUUGGGGGCUAAUUGUAUCAUCAUUUGUGCAAAUCAAUCUAGUGGGUUU
rnacentral:lncRNA from 1 species